CUAUGCGCCUUGCCAGCCCGCUCAGGUGUGCCAGCCGCCGCGGUAAUACGUAGGAGGCAAGCGUUAUCCGGAAUGACUGGGCGUAAAGGGUGCGUAGGUGGUUUGACAAGUUAGUAGCGCAACUCCGGAGCUUAACUUCGGAACUACUACUAAAACUGUUGGACUUGAGUGCAGGAGGGGCAAUCGGAAUUCCUAGUGUAGCGGUGGAAUGCGUAGAUAUUAGGAGGAACACCAGUUGCGAAGGCGGCUCUCUGGACUGUAACUGACACUGAGGCACGAAAGCGUGGGAGCAAACAGG
rnacentral:rRNA from 1 species